rnacentral:rRNA from 1 species
GAACGACAGCACAGGAGCAAUCCUGUGGCGAGUGUCGAACGGGUGAGUAAAAUAUCGGAACGACCCCAGUAGUGAGGGAUAGCCCGACGAAAGCCGGAUUAAUACCGCAUUACGACCUGUGGUGAAAGCGGGGGAUCGCAAAGACCUCGCGCUAUUGGAGCGGCAGAUAUCAGAUUAGCUUGUUGGUGGGGUAAAAAGCCCACCAAGGCGACGAUCUGUAGCUAGUCUGAGAGGACGACCAGCCACACUGGGACUGAGACACGGCCCAGACUCAUACGGGAGGCAGCAGUGGGGAAUUUUGGACAAUGGGCGCAAGCCUGAUCCAGCCAUGCCGCGUGUGGGAAGAAGGCCUUCGGGUUGUAAACCACUUUUGUCAGGGAAGAAACGGUCUGAUCUAAUACAUUGGACUAAUGACGGUACCUGAAGAAUAAGCACCGGCUAACUACGUGCCAGCAGCCGCGGUAAUACGUAGGGUGCAAGCGUUAAUCGGAAUUACUGGGCGUAAAGCGUGCGCAGGCGGCUUUGCAAGACAGAUGUGAAAUCCCCGGGCUCAACCUGGGAACUGCAUUUGUGACUGCAUGGCUAGAGUACGGUAGAGGGGGAUGGAAUUCCGCGUGUAGCAGUGAAAUGCGUAGAUAUGCGGAGGAACACCGAUGGCGAAGGCAAUCCCCUGGACCUGUACUGACGCUCAUGCACGAAAGCGUGGGGAGCAAACAGGAUUAGAUACCCUGGUAGUCCACGCCCUAAACGAUGUCAACUGGUUGUUGGACGGCUUGCUGUUCAGUAACGAAGCUAACGCGUGAAGUUGACCGCCUGGGGAGUACGGCAAGCAAGGUUG